GGAUUAGAUACCCUGGUAGUCCACGCCGUAAACGGUGGGUACUAGGUGUGGGUUCCUUCCUUGGGAUCCGUGCCGUAGCUAACGCAUUAAGUACCCCGCCUGGGGAGUACGGCCGCAAGGCUAAAACUCAAAGGAAUUGACGGGGGCCCGCACAAGCGGCGGAGCAUGUGGAUUAAUUCGAUGCAACGCGAAGAACCUUACCUGGGUUUGACAUGCACAGGACGCCGGCAGAGAUGUCGGUUCCCUUGUGGCCUGUGUGCAGGUGGUGCAUGGCUGUCGUCAGCUCGUGCCG
rnacentral:rRNA from 1 species